rnacentral:rRNA from 1 species
CCUACGGGUGGCAGCAGUAGGGAAUCUUUCACAAUGGGCGAAAGCCUGAUGCAGCAACGCCGCGUGCAGGAUGAAGGCCUUCGGGUUGUAAACUGCUUUUAUAAGCGGGAAAGACGAUGGUAACUUAUGAAUAAGGAGCGGCUAACUACGUGCCAGCAGCCGCGGUCAUACGUAGGAGCCGAGCAUUAUCCGGAGUGACUGGGUGUAAAGAGUUGCGUAGGUGGCAUAAGAUGUAGCUAGUUGAAACUGGUGGGUCAACCAUUCAGACUAUUAGCUAUACUGUUAAGCUCGAGACCGUUAGGGGUAACUGGAAUUUCUAGUGUAGGAGUGAAAUCCGGAGAUAUUAGAAGGAACACCAAUAGCGUAGGCAGGUUACUGGGACGGUUCUGACGCUAAGGCACGAAAGCGUAGGGAGCAAACGGGAUUAGAUACCCGGGUAGUC